rnacentral:rRNA from 1 species
GGCUCAGAUUGAACGCUGGCGGCAGGCCUAACACAUGCAAGUCGAGCGGCAGCGGAAAGUAGCUUGCUACUUUGCCGGCGAGCGGCGGACGGGUGAGUAAUGUCUGGGAAACUGCCUGAUGGAGGGGGAUAACUACUGGAAACGGUAGCUAAUACCGCAUGACCUCGAAAGAGCAAAGUGGGGGAUCUUCGGACCUCACGCCAUCGGAUGUGCCCAGAUGGGAUUAGCUAGUAGGUGAGGUAAUGGCUCACCUAGGCGACGAUCCCUAGCUGGUCUGAGAGGAUGACCAGCCACACUGGAACUGAGACACGGUCCAGACUCCUACGGGAGGCAGCAGUGGGGAAUAUUGCACAAUGGGCGCAAGCCUGAUGCAGCCAUGCCGCGUGUGUGAAGAAGGCCUUAGGGUUGUAAAGCACUUUCAGCGAGGAGGAAGGCAUCAYACUUAAUACGUGUGGUGAUGACGUACUCGCAGA